ACUUUUGCUAUGAAGCCCCUAAAUAUGGUGGUGCAACCAAUUACCUUCAGAAGUCACAUAAUUUGUGAAAUAAAGUCUACAUGUGCGCAAUCUAAGUGGCACAUGAUCUGUCAUAUGAUCUCAGUAUAUAUACACCUGUUCUGAAACGCUCCAGAGUCCGCAAAACCACUAAGCAAAGGGCAACACCAAGCAAACGGCACUAUGAAGAUCAAAGAUCUCUCCAAACAGGUCAGGGACGAAGUUGUGGAGAAGUACAGAUCAGGGUUGGGUUUUUAAAAAUAUCUCAAACUUUGAACAUGCCACGGAUCACCAUUAAAUCCAUUAUUAAGAAAUUGAAAGAAUAUGGCACCACAACAAACAUGCCAAGAGACGGCCGCCCACCAAAACUCACGGACCAUUCAAGGAGGGCAUUAAUCAGAGAGGCAACAAAGAGACCAAAGAUAACCCUGAAGGAGCUGCAAAGCUCCACAGCGGAGAUUGGUUUAUCUGUCCAUAGGACCACUUUAAGCUGUACACUCCACAGAGCUGGGCUUUACGGAAGAGUGGCCCAAAACAAGCCAUUGCUUAAAGGAAAAAAUAAGCAAACACGUUUGGUGUUCGCCAAAAGGCAUGUGGGAGACUCCCCAAACAUAUGCAAGAAUAUACUCUGGUCAGAUGAGACUAAAAUUGAGCUUUUUGGCCAUCAAGGAGAACGCUAUGUCUGGCGCAAACCCAACACAUCUCAACACCAGCAUUAUGCUGUGGGGAUGUUUUUCAUCGGCAGGGACUGGGAAACUGGUCAGAAUUGAAGGAAUGAUGGAUGGAGCUAAAUACAGGGAAAUUCUUGAGGUAAACCUGUUUCAGUCUUCCAGAGAUUUGAGACUGGGACGGAAGUUCACCUUCCAGCAGGACAAUGAGCCUAAGCAUAUUGCUAAAGCAACACUCGAGUGGUUUAAGGGGAAAUAUUUAAAUGUCUUGGAAUAGCCUAGCCAAAGCCCAGACCUCAAUCUGUGGUAUUACUUAAAGAUUGCUGUACACCAGCGGAAGUCAUCCAACUUGAAGGAGCUGGAGCAGUUUUGCCUUGAAGAAUGGGCAAAAAUCCCAGUGGCUAGAUGUGUCAUGCUCAUAGAGACAUACCCCAAGAGACUUGCAGCUGUAAUUGCUGCAAAGGGUGUCUCUACAAAGUAUUGACUUUGGGGGGGUGAAUAGUUAUGCACCCUCAAGUUUUUUGUUGUUGUUUUUUUGUCUUAUAUCUUGUUUGUUUCCCAAUAAAAAAUAUGUUGCAUCUUCAAUGUGGUAGGUGAAUACUUUCGCAAGCGACUGUAAGUACUUUACUUAGUUGUGGUGGUGGGAUCCACAAGUCCCCAUAACAGACAUGCAAGCAGCUAUGUCUUUGAACACAUCCACCCAGAGCCUUUGCACACACACAUGGAAAGGGUGUGUGGCAUUGAAGAUUGAGAGAAGGGAAGGAAAGGAAAGCUGCCCAAGCUGGUACAGAACUCUACUCCUUAAAGAACCGCAAUGCUAUUACCAAAUCUAUUACCAAUGCUAUUUGAAGAGCUCUCUCCCCCUCUCUCUCGCUGUCUCACUCACUCCCUCUCCCUCUCUCUCUCUCCCCCUCUCUCUGUCUUUCUUUCUCUCUUUUCCCUGUCACACUUUCUCAGGUCUGUCUCCUUUCUCCCAAUGUGCCACAAUAAUUCCACAGCUGCUCUCCUUAUUGAUGUUCACCGUCACAGCUUGCACACCCUCAUCUCUCCUCCCCUGUGUGUGUGCACGUGUGUGUUUAAAAGAGCAUCUGUACGAGAGCCUAUGCACAAGAGUGUGUGCUCAUAGCGUUGGUACGUGUGUGUGUGUAUGAGUGCAUACUUAUAUCGGUGUGUCUGAGAUGGAGAAAAUAUAGUUGAAGUGGUGUCAGGACGAGAUAUUGCUGAAUUACUCAGUCAUGGAGGUGUCAUCAGUGUCUCCUCUCAUGCUUGGCUGUGCCCUCUCCCCCAGCCCACUACCACUCCCCUACUCCCUUUCCAAGUUUAAGCAACCCACCCCACCUGAGAAGAUUUCAAUAAUCUACUCUCUACAGUGGGGUGGUUUUCCAGCACAUUGCACAGGCAAGCCCCCACCCCCCAAUAGGCCCAGGGAGGGUAGAGCCCCUGCCUGCCCAGGCUCACCGAGGCUUUCCUGGGAAGAGGGCGCUCAGUGCUCCCUUAUCUCUGGACCAAAGGGGGGUCUCCACCAAACCUACACCACACUGCAUCUCCAAUAUGAAUCCAAUUUGAAAUCUGCAUUGAUGGAAUGGAUGUGAUUUUCAUCUGACAUAACGUAUACAGAUCAUACAUUAUUCAUUUGUUUAUUUUACAGUUGAGGCUGUUGUAUUAUAAUGAUAUAUUUGUUGUUAAUAUAUACGUGGGGCAUAAUGUGUAUUUAUGUUCUGCUCAUUACUGUAAGCGCUGUGAAUAUUAAUGCACUAGGUAAUGUGAUUUACGCCCGUCGUACAUAAACCGAGCAGUUUAUCUCUUUCCCUCUCCCCCUCUCUGUCUCUCUCGCUCUUAAUGUGUCUGUGAUGGAGAGGAUGUGAAGGUCAUACCUUUGUGUGUUUUUCUGCGUAACUUAAUGAAGGCGGAGGAGAGACAAUCUGGAGGCAAACAGCCUUGAACGCUCUCACACACACACACACACACACACACACACACACACACACACACACACACACACACACACACACACACACACACACACACACACACACACACACACACACACACACACACACACACACACACACACACACACACACACACACACACACACACACACAGCCUCAUGUCACACUGGUGGGUGAUAACAUAAUUAGAGCUAGCACACUCUGCCAUGCUAUUGUGGUUCUGUUUGGCUGUGAGAUUUUGGCAUUGGAGGCAGGAAGGACAUUGCCACCCAAUCUUUCUGUGUGUGAUGUUAUGUAGACUAUCAGUCAGUAGUCCUUUGAUUUCAUGCAUCCUGCCUGUGUUGUCAGACAAACAUUGUAAGUCAGCCUUACACUACACAUUCACUUUAGGGGCAAGGCCACAGCUGAUUGUGUCCUAUUCAGUGUGGGUCCUUUCCUCAUGAGAAUAAAGCACAGCUUGCACACUUAGAUACCUCAAGCACACCUUCAUUCAUUCUCAAUCCAAUUGGACCAGUUCUUUCCCCUCAGCAAAAAUACCCUUUAUCUCUGUACUAUAUUAUACAGUUGGAGCAUGUACUCCUAUAGAGCAGCCAGUAACAGCACUGCUGAGGCUCCCUAAGGCUAAAGGCAGUCAUAUGUCACACCGCUGCCUACUAUUCCAUCUGAGGCCUUUCAUGCACGCACACACACACACACACACGCAUGCACGCACGCACGCACGCACGCACACACACACCGUUGCCAUAUUACUGUCACUUCUGAGGAUUACUGCACUGGAGGGUUUAUCCUCAGACUCAGAGAACCAUAGACAGACACAAACAAAAACAACCAGAGAUGGAGGGUUGGAGAGGGAGAGGGGGGACAGUGAAGAAGGCAGCCUGGCAGAAAAAGGCCUCUCUGAGGCUGCGGACAGAGAGAGAUGGAGGGGGACUGGGAGAGACGGUCUAAAUCUGGAGCCGUGGCCGAGCGCGGCCUGCCUCACCCGAUAACAGAAUUACUGCAAAUGUAAGUUUUGAGAUGCUGCUUCCACCAUCACUCUGCUCUCUCUGGGAUUUAUGGCUUCUGGUGAAAUGAUUCUCUCUGAGAAAGGGAGGAAGAGAUGGAGAGAGAGUGACAGUGGAGAGGUGGAGAGAGAAAGAGGGAUAGAGAGGGAAGGAAGUGGAAAGGUGAGAGAGAGCGAUGGAGAGAGAGCUGAGUAGAGAGGGAGAGUUGAGACAAUUGAUGGAGGGAGGGAACACAGCAAACAGUGUGGAUACAUUAUACUACUACAACACAAGCUAGCUAACAUAGUUUACCACAGUAUGAGUAAUAUUACCCAUAAAAGGUAGCAGUCAAACACAGAAAUCAUUUUUCAUUUUAUCCAUUGUUGAUUUUAGAAACGCUUCAAAUAAGGGCUGUGUCUUGUGUAGUCUUACCAUAGCGUGAUGUUUUGAUAGCUGUGUAAAUCUCUCUUGGACACGGUGACUUUUAUCAAUAUAUUAACCUGUGUUUGCUGCUGCUAAUGUGGCUAUCAUACAGAACUACAAAUGCCUGUCUCAAGCUUCAUGUCACAGACCAUGACAAUGAUGAUCUGGACAAAACUGCCAAAUCGAGGCAAAGGUAAGAAUCUCUGGAUUAACUACGUAAUGUUAGCUAAAUUUAGUAAUUAAUAAAUAGGAUAAAGUUGUUGAAUUGGACAAUUCUGUGAACUGUCUUGGGCACGUUUUGAAUUGAAUAUGCCUGUUAUCUAGCUAGCUAGCUCACAGGUUAGCUAAUUAGCAACAUUAGCCUGGCUAGAUGGCUACAUUUGUUUAGCCAUUUAAAUGCAUGACAUAUUCAUUAAAACGAGUUUAGUUUUCUUUGGAUUUCAUAAACAAACAGUUUAGCUUGCUCGCUAACUUAGAUGGUGAAACUAAGGCUAGGCGUUUUUGAUCAUGUUUGUUUGUGUCUGUGGGUGAGGGGUGGGUAGCCUACUUCAAGUACAACUUGACUUGUAACUACCCUAGCUAGCUGUAUUAUUUUAGUCUGGCUUUUUGAGAGGUUUCAGAGAUGGACUCAUUAGCAUCCUUUUUUCAGUCAACAGUGUGCUUACUUUACUGCGGGAGAACAUUGAUAUGUGUGCUGUUACCCUCUGGAUAGCAGAUCAUUAGUAUAGCUAGUUGUCAAGGUUAUGUAACCCAUGCCUAUCUGCUAUGGUGGGCUUUAAAUGAAUUGGCAUUCACACAUUUGUUUUUGAGGUAGAAUUACUUUAAUGUUAAUUGUGCCAAAUUGAAAACCUUAUUUGCACAUUCUCUAUUCCAGAACCAUUGGGUGUGCUUGAGACGUAUCAUCUCUCAACUAGGUCAGCUGUUUCAACCUGGAACCUGGUCUGUUUUAGUCAUUGCAGGAAGUCCUGAAGAGUAAGAGUGUGUGAAGGGUUUUGUCCCAGCCCAGCUCUAACACCUAACUUAAAUAAUCAACAUACCGAAUCAUGGGCUGGAACAAAAGCUUAUACACAGUCCUGCCAUUCAGAUCCGGAGCUGUCCACCCAUUUAAGUCAAUAUUCUGUACUAUGAAUACAACUGGGGGCGGGGUUAUUGAUGCUCCACUAUCAAGUUGAAGUUUGAACUUGUUUACUGAUGCCAUGGUGGUGGCUGCUAAAAAGAAUGGAGCAGCUACUAACCAGAAGACUGCAGCUAAGGCAGCAUUGGUCCACCCCUACCCUGUCUGUCGGACCUGAAGACAUUCAAGCAGCACUUUGAUAGCAAGCAUCCCAAGUCUCCAAUGGUCCCAAUGCAGGCCUAAGGGACCACAUACACUCAAAUGGACUUACAGCUGGGACACACGAUGGCCACAAUUUGAAUGCUACAACUGAGACAGAAUGAUGUCGAGGGACACGCCGAGGCCCCGUAUAUGACUGGACAUGGGCCGGAUAUUUGUGACAACAACCGAAAAGGGCUGCAGAAGUACACCAGCACCACAUUUGAUAUUUAUUCCAUGGCCAACCACCUCUCUAGCUACACCUUACUCCACGCUAUGCCUUUUAUGCCCCAAUGGUUCCAUCUUGUCUCUAUAAACCCAGCCAACCUUCAUCCAUUCCCCUAUGCUGCUUCCUUCACUUGUUCUUCUGUUGAUUUGAUAACAUCUAGACUCAGUAACACGUUUAAUAGUGUUGUGGUGUACUGUUUUUGCUACCUUUUUUUCAGCUGUGUAAUGCUGUCCUCCUUAUUCUGGGGUUCAGGCUGAAUGCAGUGGUAAAUGUACUGCUCAUAAUUGACAGCAGCAACAUGGACCUGUUAAAUUGACCAGAAGGGUGUUGAUAUAGCUGAUUUUAGACAUGGCUUCCGUGUUUUCAGUCUGUUAAGUGUGUUUCUCAUUCUGCUGGAGUUGACCUAGUAUUUUAUAUAAAACCUACCUCACGCAUCCAGUUUUUCCAUUUGUAACUCACCCACCAAAAUCACAAUAUGCUGUUGUGUUAUUUAUGCUGAUCUAAUUCCUAAACUGGAAAAGCAGAAGAAUAUUUGCACUGUUGGAUAAUAAUAAUAGUUUAUAUGGUGCUCUUCGAUGUUCCAGGUUUGUGAUAUUGAUGAUUAAAUCAUUGAAAGUUUACUUAAAUUCAGAUGUUUAUGUGUUAUGUAUAAAAGGCAUAUGCAUUGUAUGCAUUGUUUAAUAUUUUUUAUUUCUUUAAAACAAUGUAAUUGUUGGAGUUCAGGUGUUUGACAUGAUUGAUGGAUGCCUAGGUGCCUUUUUGUCAAAUAAAUAUGCUUUUCAU